UAAACUCCAUCCACAGUAUCCACUCCGCCGCCACCACCGUCCCCUUCCUCCUCCUCCUCCUCCUCCUCCCACCCGCCGCCGCGGCCGCCGCUGCUCAUCACCAUCUCCUUCACCUUCUCUUUCCCCACACUCACGCCGCCGCCUACCACGCCGUCGUCGUCCUUCUCCGGGAACGGCCGGGAACUGCACCUCCAUUCCCACCACCUCAGCCGAGCCCCUCCCCUCUCGACCUCUCGCGGCUCUCUCCCAACGCUCUCUCUCUCUCUCUCUCUCGCUGUCUCUCUCCCUCCCUUUUCUCAAGCCGUCUCAUGGCGCCUGCCCACGGUCGGCGGCUGGCCAGCAAAGGCGGCAGCGGCAACCACGCCCUCCCCUCCGCCAGAUCCGGCGGGAGGGCAGGCGCAGUGAGAGGGCCUCCUCCGACGUCGACCGCAAGACGGCCUCCGCGCCGCUAUCUCAUCUUCCCGUUCUCUCCCCACCCCGAGCGAUCCAUCCAUUCCCCCUCCCCUCAAGCGAUUCCCCGGUUCCCCUUCGCAAUCCGCACUCAACUCCCUUCCAAGAUCCGAUUCCCCAACCACUGCUCAGUCGCCUAAACCCUAGCGCCGCCAUGGAUUCGGCUACGCUCUCGCCCACCACCACCAGCACGCAGCAGCUCGCCGCCGCGCUAGAUCUGGGACUGGGAGGAUGAGGGGUGGGUGGGUGUGGCUGCUUCUGCGGUCAUCGACGCCGCCCCCGCCUCCUCCUGCUCCUUGUUAUUCUCCUCCCUAGCAUCCACGAUCACGCUGCCUCCAGCCCUCUACUGGUACAUCCACGCUACCUCCAGCCCUCCAGCCAUCUAACCCGGGUCCUGCACAUAGCUCCCCUGAGGAACGCCGCCAUCAUCCCUUCUGACCACAUCAACCUCCACCUGGGAUUCUAGAUUUCAAGGAAGCAGAAGUACGAGAUGGGGGCAAAGGGGAUGGGCACCUGGUUGUUCUUGUUCUUUUCUGAUGGGGCAGAUGGGAUGGAGACUUGUGGGUGGAGCCGUGGAGGCUGAAGCUGUCUCAUCAGGAGAAUCCUUGAAACUAAGUCCAGAGGAGCGGCUGCAGGACCAGAGAAAGUAACCAUAUAUCAGCCACUCUAAAAUCAUGGCGACAAGGGUUUAUUGCUUCGUGCACAAGGUUCCUGUCUGCGGCGAAUGCAUCCGCUUCCCGGAGCAUCAGUUAUGCGUGGUGAGCCUCUCGGCCUGUUGCAUAUCCUUGGAUUCCAGAGUACAGUAGAGUGAUUGCAUUCUGAAUAAGUUAAGCUAUCAUGAGACUAUCACAAUGUUUCUAUAUUGUUUUUUAUGGUUGUAUUUCACAGUUUCAGCUGCCUUGUUGGGUAAUUGGGAAUUGUUGGUUAAUGAUAUAUUGGGCUUGAUUACCUUUAAACCUACAGUGAUGUAAUCAAAAUGUUCACAAAACCUUGUGCCACUAACUUGAUCCAUUAUCUUAAAAAAGUUUAGUAGGUGAGGCAGGUGAUGUUUAGCAGAUUUCAUUUUGUGUGAGCUUAUUACUUUGAUUCGAGCACAAAUUCAUGUUUGGCUAGGUAUAUACAUAUUGGAUAUGAGGUACAUUUGAGAUCUUUUGAUUCUGUCAGGAGGAAUUGGAACAUGCCAGCUACAUCUGAUAAUUCUAGAUUUAUUAUAGCAGUUUUCAGAUUGACUAUAAGAUAAUUCAUGUAAUCUUCCUGAGUUAUUUAACCACAUAGCUUCCUAAGAUACAUCAACAUAAAUUUGAUAUUCUCAGGUGGUAAAAUAAUUAUUCCAUAAUCCAGUUUAUAGCUCUGUUUGGAUCAGCUCUAUUUGCAUUUUUAAUGUAAUAGUGACCACUGAAAACAAAUGAAAAUGGCGUUGCAAGGAAAUGACAGAUGCAUAGUGGUUCUAUUACUUAUGCUAUGUAACUGCGUCAUGUGCAGGACAAAUGUGCCAAAAACCAAAUGUGAUAUCUGUUGGUUGCUUGCAGGUUGGCACUUUUAGUGGCCAGAGUAUUUUUUUUUGCGUUGGUUGCUGGAACGCAGGAUUUUUUGGCACUAGUUGCUGACUGCUGGCAGGAUGCAGGCCGGAAGUGCAGCGGCUGCUUGGUGGAAUUUUUUUGCUGGCUACUGGCAAGAUGCACGCCGCCGAAACUUAGUGGCUGCUAGGUGGAAUUUUUUGGUGCAGGAACUUGGCACUACCUGUAGGAACUUUGUAGUCAGCUGGGACUUGUGUAGUUGGAUGGUGGAUGGAUCAUUUUGUAUUCAUGUUUUGUGCUUUUGUAUGGAAAUAUGUUGGAAACUGUAUUUUGGAACUUGCUUUUGUAUGGGCUAGAAAAUUAAUUAUGGCUGGAAUGUGAUUAUAAUAUAAUUAUGCAAAUGGUUGUGGUUUA